CAAAUCAGGUAGGACUACCCGCUGAACUUAAGCA
rnacentral:rRNA from 3 species